GGUCAAGCGACUAAGCGCACACGGUGGAUGCCUAGGCAGUUGGAGGCGAUGAAGGACGUAGGAGCCUGCGAAAAGGUUAGGGGAGCCGGCAAACAUGCUUUGAUCCUAACAUGUCCGAAUGGGGAAACCCACUGAGCUUGCUCAGUAUCGUGCACUGAAUACAUAGGUGUACGAGGCGAACCCGGGGAACUGAAACAUCUAAGUACCCGGAGGAAAAGAAAUCAACCGAGAUUCCCUUAGUAGCGGCGAGCGAACGGGGACCAGCCCUUAAGCAACUUGUGUUUUAGUGGAACCUUCUGGAAAGUUGGGCGAUACAGGGUGAUAGCCCCGUACACGAAAAGGCACUUGUUGUGAAAUCGAGUAGGACGGAACACGUGAUAUUCUGUCUGAACAUGGGGGGACCAUCCUCCAAGGCUAAAUACUCCCAACUGACCGAUAGUGAACCAGUACCGUGAGGGAAAGGCGAAAAGAACCCCUGUGAGGGGAGUGAAAUAGAACCUGAAACCGUGUGCGUACAAGCAGUAGGAGCCUCUUCGUGGGGUGACUGCGUACCUUUUGUAUAAUGGGUCAGCGACUUAUUGUAUGUGGCAAGGUUAACCGUUUAGGGGAGCCGUAGCGAAAGCGAGUCUUAAUAGGGCGUUUUAGUCGCAUGCAAUAGACCCGAAACCGAGCGAUCUAUCCAUGGGCAGGUUGAAGGUUGAGUAACAUCAACUGGAGGACCGAACCCACUAAUGUUGAAAAAUUAGGGGAUGACCUGUGGAUCGGAGUGAAAGGCUAAUCAAGCUCGGAGAUAUCUGGUUCUCCCCGAAAUCUAUUUAGGUAGAGCCUCGGACGAACACCACUGGGGGUAGAGCACUGUUUGGGCUAGGGGGUCAUCCCGACUUACCAACCCCAUGCAAACUCCGAAUACCAGUGAGUGCUAUCCGGGAGACAGACGGCGGGUGCUAACGUCCGUCGUCAAGAGGGAAACAACCCAGACCACCAGCUAAGGUCCCAAAUGUUAAUUAAGUGGGAAACGAUGUGGGAAGGCUUAGACAGCUAGGAGGUUGGCUUAGAAGCAGCCAUCCUUUAAGAAAGCGUAAUAGCUCACUAGUCGAGUCGGCCUGCGCGGAAGAUGUAACGGGGCUAAAUUAGCAACCGAAGCUGUGGCUGUGUCUUAUGACACGGGGUAGGGGAGCGUUCUGUAAGCUGUUGAAGGUGUGUUGUCAGGCAUGCUGGAGGUAUCAGAAGUGCGAAUGCUGACAUGAGUAACGACAAGGGGAGUGAAAAACUCCCCCGCCGGAAGAUCAAGGUUUCCUGUCCAACGUUAAUCGGGACAGGGUUAGUCGGCCCCUAAGGCGAGGCAGAAAUGCGUAGUCGAUGGGAAGCGCGUUAAUAUUCGUGCACUUUUUGUUAUUGCGAUGGAGGGACGGAGAAGGCUAGGCCAUCACGGCGUUGGUUGUCCGUGUUUAAGGUUGUAGGCUGGGGAUUUAGGCAAAUCCGGAUCCCUAAGGCUGAGAACUGAUGACGAGCUAACUUUUAGUUGGCGAAGUGGUUGAUGCCCUGCUUCCAAGAAAAGCUUCUAAGCUUCAGAUAACAAAGAACCGUACUGUAAACCGACACAGGUGAUCAGGUAGAGAAUACCAAGGCGCUUGAGAGAACUCGGGUGAAGGAACUAGGCAAAAUGGCACCGUAACUUCGGGAGAAGGUGCGCCACUGACGGUGAAGGAUUUACUCCGUAAGCUGUUGGUGGUCGAAGUAACCAGUCCGCUGCAACUGUUUAUUAAAAACACAGCACUCUGCAAACACGUAAGUGGACGUAUAGGGUGUGACGCCUGCCCGGUGCUGGAAGGUUAAUUGAUGGGGUUAGCGUAAGCGAAGCUCUUGAUCGAAGCCCCAGUAAACGGCGGCCGUAACUAUAACGGUCCUAAGGUAGCGAAAUUCCUUGUCGGGUAAGUUCCGACCUGCACGAAUGGCGUAAUGAUGGCGGAGCUGUCUCCACCCGAGACUCAGUGAAAUUGAAAUCGCUGUUAAGAUGCAGUGUACCCGCGGCUAGACGGAAAGACCCCGUGAACCUUUACUGUAGCUUUGCACUGAACUUUGAACCUAUUUGUGUAGGAUAGGUGGGAGGCUUUGAAGCCAUGACGCUAGUUGUGGUGGAGCCGUCCUUGAAAUACCACCCUGGUAUGUUUGAGGUUCUAACGUCGGCCCGUUAUCCGGGUUGCGGACAGUGCAUGGUGGGCAGUUUGACUGGGGCGGUCUCCUCCCAAAGAGUAACGGAGGAGCACGAAGGUUGGCUAAUCCUGGUCGGAAAUCAGGAGUUUAGUGUAAUGGCACAAGCCAGCUUGACUGCGAGACUGACACGUCGAGCAGGUACGAAAGUAGGUCAUAGUGAUCCGGUGGUUCUGUAUGGAAGGGCCAUCGCUCAACGGAUAAAAGGUACUCCGGGGAUAACAGGCUGAUACCGCCCAAGAGUUCACAUCGACGGCGGUGUUUGGCACCUCGAUGUCGGCUCAUCACAUCCUGGGGCUGAAGCCGGUCCCAAGGGUAUGGCUGUUCGCCAUUUAAAGUGGUACGCGAGCUGGGUUUAGAAUGUCGUGAGACAGUUCGGUCCCUAUCUGCCGUGGGCGUUGGAGAUUUGAGAAGAGUUGCUCCUAGUAUGAGAGGACCGGAGUGAACGAACCUCUGGUGUUCGGGUUGUCAUGCCAAUGGCAUUGCCCGGUAGCUAUGUUCGGACGGGAUAACCGUCUGAAAGCAUUUAAGCGGGAAGCCUCCUUCAAGAUAAGAUCUCCCUGGGGCCUUGAGCCCCCUAAAGAGCCGUUGAAGACUACGACGUUGAUAGGUUGGGUGUGGAAGCGCUGUGAGGCGUUGAGCUAACCAAUACUAAUUGCUCGUGAGGCUUGACCAU
rfam:Simiduia agarivorans SA1 = DSM 21679, complete genome.